rnacentral:rRNA from 1 species
AGCACUUUUACAGAUUUCUUCGGAAUGAAGUUUUAGUGACUGAGUGGCGGACGGGUGAGUAACGCGUGGGUAACCUGCCUCACACAGGGGGAUAACAGUUGGAAACGGCUGCUAAUACCGCAUAAGCGCACAGUACCGCAUGGUACGGUGUGAAAAACUCCGGUGGUGUGAGAUGGACCCGCGUCUGAUUAGCUAGUUGGCAGGGCAGCGGCCUACCAAGGCGACGAUCAGUAGCCGACCUGAGAGGGUGACCGGCCACAUUGGGACUGAGACACGGCCCAAACUCCUACGGGAGGCAGCAGUGGGGAAUAUUGCACAAUGGGGGAAACCCUGAUGCAGCGACGCCGCGUGAGCGAAGAAGUAUUUCGGUAUGUAAAGCUCUAUCAGCAGGGAAGAAGAAAUGACGGUACCUGACUAAGAAGCACCGGCUAAAUACGUGCCAGCAGCCGCGGUAAUACGUAUGGUGCAAGCGUUAUCCGGAUUUACUGGGUGUAAAGGGAGCGCAGGCGGAAGGCUAAGUCUGAUGUGAAAGCCCGGGGCUCAACCCCGGUACUGCAUUGGAAACUGGUCAUCUAGAGUGUCGGAGGGGUAAGUGGAAUUCCUAGUGUAGCGGUGAAAUGCGUAGAUAUUAGGAGGAACACCAGUGG